AUGUACGACUGAGCCUUGAUUCC
rnacentral:piRNA from 1 species